rnacentral:misc_RNA from 1 species
GAUGAAGAACGUAGCGAAAUGCGAUAAGUAAUGCGAAUUGCAGAAUUCCAGUGAGUCAUCGAAUCUUUGAACGCACAUUGCGCCCUUUGGUAUUCCGGGGGGCAUGCCUGUCCGAGCGUCAUUGCUGCCCUCAAGCACGGCUUGUGUGUUGGGCCUCCGUCCUCCUCCCGGGGGACGGGCCCGAAAGGCAGCGGCGGCACCGCGUCCGGUCCUCGAGCGUAUGGGGCUUCGUCACCCGCUCUUGUAGGCCCGGCCGGCGCUUGCCGACACAUCAAUCUUUUUUCCAGGUUGACCUCGGAUCAGGUAGGGAUACCCGCUGAACUUAAGCAUAUCAAUAAGCGGAGGA